rnacentral:tRNA from 1 species
GUAGGUAUAGUUUAACAAAAGCAUUAGAUUGUGGUUCUAAAUAUAGGGGUUAAACUCCCCUUACCCACC